GAUGAACGCUGGCGGCGUGCCUAAUACAUGCAAGUCGAGCGGACGGACGAUAAGCUUGCUUCCUUGAUGUUAGCGGCGGACGGGUGAGUAACACGUAGAUCACCAUCCUAUAAGUCUGGGAUAACUUCGGGAAACCGGAGCUAAUAACAGCUCAUAUUUUGUACCGCAUGAUUCAAAAGUGAUUGACGGUCUUGCUGUCACUUAUAGCUGGAUCCGCGCUGGAUUAGCUAGUUGGUAAGGUCACGGCUCACCAAGGCAACGAUGCGUAGCCGACCUGAGAGGGUGAUCGGCCACACUGGAACUGAGACACGGUCCAGACUCCUACGGGAGGCAGCAGUAGGGAAUAUUCCGCAAUGGGCGAAAGCCUGACGGAGCAACGCCGCGUGGGUGAAGAAGGUCUUCGGAUCGUAAAGCUCUUUUAUUAGGGAAGAAAAGAUGUGUAAUAAUCUGCGCAUGUCUUGACGGUACCUAAUCAGAAAGCCACGGCUAACUUCGUG
rnacentral:rRNA from 1 species